rnacentral:lncRNA from 1 species
GUUCUGUUUUGUUUUGAGAUGACGACGAAGCCGCUCUGUGAUUCAAGAACGCUGAGAGGCUGAAGCAGGAGGAUCACAAGUUCAAGACCAGCGGGGGCGGUUUAGCAAGACCUUGGGGCUCCGAGUGUUCGAGUCCCCACGCCCGCCUCACCCCGAGGUCUCCGGUGGUUUGGAGAGUCUGGGCGACGGAAGCACUGGCAGCAGUUUCAAUAAAAUCUUGCGGAUCCAAGCUGCAACUGAUACACAGGAAGUGACUGGACCCAAAUUUCGAAAGAACCCGCCUGAGACGGCAGCCAGUCAUGUGUGCCGAUGAGCCAUGAUUCUCCGAGAUCCCCGGGCAGGGCGAUCAGGAUGGAUUCGAGGAGCAUCCAGAAUACUUGGAGACUGAAACUUGGUGAAGACUAAACUCCUGCAGUCAAGUGGAAUCAUAACCUAAGGUAUUGUUAGCUUG